rnacentral:rRNA from 1 species
UACGGGGGGGGCAAGCGUUGUUCGGAAUUACUGGGCGUAAAGGGCGCGUAGGCGGCCAGUGCAAGUCAGUUGUGAAAUCUCCGAGCUUAACUCGGAAAGGUCAACUGAUACUGCUCGGCUAGAGUGCGGAAGGGGCAACUGGAAUUCUUGGUGUAGCGGUGAAAUGCGUAGAUAUCAAGAGGAACACCUGCGGCGAAGGCGGGUUGCUGGGCCGACACUGACGCUGAAGCGCGAAAGCUAGGGGAGCGAACGGG